GCGCGAAUAGUGUAGCGGUUAGCAUGCAUGCUUCCCAGGCCUCGAGCUGUACAAGCAUGCGACCCGGGUUCGAGUCCCGGUUCGCGCA